UGCAGGAAGAAGUGGGAUCCUAAACCCUAG
rnacentral:piRNA from 1 species